CAGCCCGGGACACUCGGAGUUCCAGGCCUCCGCGCCCGCGCCCGAGGGCGCCCUCUCCGAAACGGCCACUUGCUCUCCGUUCCUCCUCCGCUUGCCUGUGUGUCAAUCAACACACACUGCCGCUUGCUUGACAGCGCUGUGCUGAGUAGUAGGACACGAGGUAUUGGGAUUCUUCCUGUUGCUGUAAACUCUUAUUUCUGUAUAGCGCUUACACAGCGUUUGCACCUUUGUGAUCUCGUGCAACACUUACUGGGCACCUACUGUGUUCGCCGCCCUGUGCUGGAUGCUGCGUCCACAGGGACACUCCCGGCCUCAAAGGGUUGGAGUGGGCGCGCAGAUCACGAUGUGAAAACGCACAUGCACAUCUUCCGGCCCCACCGCAGAACCGGGGUCCUCCCGGCGCCGCGGGCUGAGGCCAGCCAAUGAGAGGCACGCGGAAGGGCUGCAAGUCUGAAGCGCUCAGAAGAUGAGACGAUAUGAUGGACCGACGGACUCAAGGACAGAGAGGCCGAGAGAUUCGGGGGCCUGUGAGAGUAAGAUGUUAAUCCCCUGGUAGCCUCUGGUCUACUUUCUAUGGAUUUGCCUAUUCUAAAUAUUUCACACAAAUGGAAUCAGACAAUAUUGGUCCUUUGUGUCUGGCUGACUUCACUCAGCAUAAUGCUUUCCAGGUAAGUGUGUAUUUUUCUUGCUCCUGGGUAUGUGAGUUACUGGGCUAGCUCCAGGCUGAGGUUGGGCUCAGUUCUGCUUGUCACAUCUCCACGUUCUCCUUGGACCAGCCUUUCCCUGGGAUGUAUUCUUCUCACUGGGGGUCACAGCAUCCCAAGAGACCAAGCUCUGCCAAACUGUCUCUGAGAAGACGAGAUCAGGACACAGACGCCAACAAAAAAGACCAUGUGAAGACGCGGGAGGAAGACGGCCACCUGCAAGCCGCGAGAGAGGACUCAGAAGAAACCAACCCUUUUAACACCCUGAUCUGGGCCUCCCAGUGCCCAGAACUGGCAGCGAAAGGCCACGUCCUCCCAGCUCCAUUUGUGACUGGACGAGCGGACCGCACCGUGUGAGUCAGCCUGUUGUGGAAGCGUCUGAGAGUCAUUGCUCUGACUGUGCUGACGAAGCACAGAGAAGAAGGAAGGCCUGACCCCUGCCAGCCCGGAUGUUCCCUGAGGGCCUCUUGCUCUUCUCCACACUGUGGCCAGAGGCCUCUGUCACAGGCAUUAAUCUGGGCUUGUCUGUGUCCUGCCUAACAGCUUCAGGAGGAAGUCACCCUGUGCCCCAGCGCCGAGGCCUGCCCUCUGGAACUUGUCUCUUUGAGGUCCUCACCACGCCUCCAGCCCUGGGCUGGGCCAGGACACCCGGCUCUGUAUUCUCACAGCUCUUGCUCCCCUGACCUUAACACUCAUCCCAGCUGGAGGUUGGAGGUCGUGACUCCUCCUUUGCUGUCUUUCCCAGUGGAGUGUAGGCCCCUCCACAGCGGGGGCCAAGCUGUAGGCUGUGCAGAGCCCACGGCGGGCCCACCGGCAUUUGAUGAUGACAGGAAGCGCUCCUCACAUUCCACUGUAACUGCACGUCUUUCUUUGAGGGCAGACCUGCAGUUGGUUCAUUUCUAUAUCCUCAGCUUUUACUCUGAUCAAAGACCUGGCUCCACAUUCCAAAGGUGUGUGGGCUCUGAUUUCAGUGACCAGGUAGGCCUUUCCGUGACCUGGCCGGGAACGGGCUCCAAGGUCCAUCGCCCACGCUCCACAUGCGGUGUGGGGAGCACAGCAAGGUCUCCUACCCUGAGGGAAGGAAAGGGUUACAGCACUCACCUCUCAGGGCCCUCCCACUCCACCCCCUGCGACAGGUGAGACAGAUGAGGGUAGUGGGUGUGGUCCCAGCAGCCCUGGGGCCCCAAGGAGCCGGGCCUCUCCUUCCAGGUUUAGAUCUGGAACAGGGCCAUGGUUUUGUCCACAGUUCCAACAGGUGUAAUGGCAAUGUCAGGGGGUCACAGUGAGUGUCCUGGCUCCCCCGGCUGUGUUGAGACACAGAGCCAUGAGGCCCCCUUCUUCACAGGUCUCAUGGGUGUCGUGGUUCCUCCCUGAGGCAGCCAGGGGCUGGGCUGCUUGAACAUCAAUCCUUUCAAAUCAUAUCAUUAAAAUCUACUCCCACACCUGUAUUUCAAAGAUAACAUUUGUGCCUGAAAUUGCCACAACUACAUUAUGGCAAAGUCACAUCAUCUGGCUCAUAAUUUAAGGCUUAGAGGCUUCAACUAAUGUAGGUGACAGUCUGGUGGCCAAAAGGAGAAAGUCUGAUUACCAAGUGGCAUUUGCUGGGAGGUCUGGGUCCCCUCCAGCACCUCACGCACAUGUGCAUAAGAGGCACUCAGUGAGUGUUUGUGGAAUCUAUGAAUGAUAUGACGUUUCUAUCCUGAGUCUCAGGGUCUUUUUCUAUUCAGAAAUCUGUCCCCAGACCAGCCGGGUGGCUCAAUGGUUAAGUUCAGGGGCUCCACUUCAGCAGCCCGGGGUUCACAGGUUUGGCUCCUGGGCAUAGACCUAGCACCACUCGUUAAGCCACGCUGUGGAGGCAUCCCACAUAAAAUAGAGGAAGAUUGGUGCAGAUGUCAGCUCAGCAACAAUCUCCCUCACAAAAAAAAAAGAAAAGAAAUCUAUCCCCAAUUAUCACACACACUCACCACAGAGCAGGUCUUUGCUCACUGAAGGGAAGCAGGGCGUUGGCCCCAGUGAGCUGAUUCAGCCUUACAAUCUUUAAGUCACCAGAGCCAAAGAGGGGUGCAGGUGGGAAUCUUCUAGAACAUUGCUUUUCUCUGCAGAAAGAGGCAAUUAGCUAGUGUGUGGGGGGGUGGGGGGAGAUGUAGAAGGAAUACAGCCCAUUAGGUCUACAGAAGUGGCUGAAGCUGGUAUUUCUGCUUUCCCUUGGGAUAGGGGCUGCUGGAAGGUGCCCCUCCCACCCAACAGUGGGAUAGCCGCUGGGGUCAAAGUGGUGAACUUUGGAGACAGAAUUGGUUCCUCCCUAAUUAAGAGAUGUUAAGUAGGUAAACAAACACUGCGUAAGUGCUACAAAGGAGAUGCUACGUCCUUCUUAUCAUAUCAUCACAUCACUCCUUCUUCCCUCCCCAGAGUUAAGCUGUGGUGGGUCCCAGGAUCUAAUCUACACUGUUGCCACAGCACCCAAGAAAAUGUUAAAAAUUACCAUCUCUAGUGCUGUGACUAUGGAAGAUGCUUGAUUUUUUUCCUAUCAUAUGAAUGCGUUUUAUUUUAUUUGUUUUUGCCAAAUUUUUAUAAUGAACAUGUCAUAUUCACAAAACAAAGGGCUAAAGCCAAUAGAGUUAUUUUCAGAAGAAAGGAGACUGAGUGGAUUCCUGUAGAGGAGAAAAUUUUCCCAGCCCAGCUUGGAGGGAGGGGCCUUCUGAUGAUCCCGUCCAGCCUGAUGGCCACCGUGGGCGGGUUCUGACCACUGGGUGACCUGCACCCAGGGUUAUGUGAAAUUCAUGAGAACCAUUUCUAAGUGGUUAAAGAAAGAUGAGCUACUUAUAAAUUCCUUCCUUUAACAGCUGAUAUCUUCAACCUUCCUUCCCCACUCACUCUCAGCUAUGUAGGGGAGGGGCGGGGGAGGUGGUAGAAAUGGGGGAACCCCAGUCCUCUUGCUCCCACUCCUGCUCCCACACAAAGCUGGGCUGGCACAGGCAGCUUAUUCCAGUGCAGUGGACUUCCCUGAAAACGAGCCAGAACUUCGUGAGUUCCCAUGGCGGUCCUGGCCUGGGCCAGGGGCUGUGCUGUAAUGAAAGAGCAGACGUUAUCAUCUUCAUUCUAGAGAAAGGACAAUUUCAUCAGAAAGACAAAGCACAAGCAAAAUAAACAUCUGAAGAACACUGGCCCAAAUAAUGUAAUUAGAUAGGAUUUCAGGGAUUGAAUUCUUUUUGUAUUACAAAAUACAUCUUAUUUUGGUUUCACAAAUAAUGCUUAUAUGAAAAAACUUUUCUCCAUACGUUCACCCAGGGCGGCUUCAUGGAUGUGCAACCUAUGCGGUCACACGUGCUCAGAAGGGUCCCACACUUGGUGUAAUGCUCUGCCGUCACCAUCUUGAAAUUCUCAACGAUUUGAUCGUUGAACUUGGGUUUUGUAAGUGAACUCCAUCGGUGGAGGGAGCAGAAGAGAUGCACGCACUAUGCCAGUCCACAGUUCCUUGCUGACCACUCACAUAUGGUGUUCACCGUGCCCUGUGAGCGCUGAACUGGGGGGACCCACGCCGCGUGGGAGGUCAGCAAGACACAGUGAAGACAAAGUAAGUGUCUUACAUCUCUGACUAGGUGGGGCUGAUAACAGACCCAAGAUGUCACACUUUCUGUUGGGACCAGAAUUUGCUUCAAAUGCAGAAAAAGGCAAUGGCGUUCAAAGGACAUAAACGACCAAGGACUUCUGCCACAUGCUUUCUUACUCGUGUGACUUCCCUGUAUUAGCCAACCACUUCAUGCUGAAAACGACGACAUAGAAGGAAAGAGAAAGAAGAUAGUGCCUUCUCUUUUCUGUCCUUCCUUACUCAUCAGUGAGCCAAAGGUAGAGAAUAGGGUAGAAUGUGCGCACGUUAGGAAGUGAAAUAAACACAGUGGAGUAUUUCCACUUUCUAGUAAGAACGAAAUACAGAUGCGUGUACAAACAAAACACAGACUGUGUAAUUUCACCCAUUCUACAUACAAGUUAAAAGCUCUCAUAUUUGCAUUUAAAAUGACAUUGCACAAUAUAAAAAUGAAAGAUAAAAUUCAUGCUAAUAAUUCUAAUGUUUAAUUUUUCUUUACUUAACAACAUUAAAGAGCAAAUUAAAAAACACUAUGAGAAGCUGAGAGAAAGACUACAGGAGAAGGGAAAAAGCUUUCUAUUUCAAC
rnacentral:lncRNA from 1 species